rnacentral:lncRNA from 1 species
AUAACCCGACUUCCAAAUCUAAUUUUCAAUCUCAAAAGCUCCACCGUCCCUAUAUUGUCGUUUAACGAUUAUUCUCGUUAUUAAUGUUAUCUCAUCCACUUAUUCAGUUAUUCAUAUACCAAAGAUCUCGUCCCUAAAUAUUUUCUUAAAUUUUCAAUCUAUGAGUUUAAUCUCCAAUCUCUAAAAAUUCCAUCUCUCGUAAUUAUUUACCUGAUCUUUAUUAUUUCACCAUCCCAUUCAUUUACUUACUCACUCAUUCGCUUAUCCACUCGUUUAAAAUCCCGAACUCUCAAAUCAUUUUUCAAAUUUCCAACCUCGUUCAAAUUCAAUUUCUAAUAUUCUCGUUCUCACAUUUAGUUUCUAAAAGUAUGAUCUUCAAAUAAACUUUAAAAUUCCAAUUUUUAAAUAACCAUCGGGACUCCAAUUUUUCAAAUGAAUUUCAAAUAUCCGAUUUUCUCUCAAAUAGUUUUAAUUUCAUUCUGGUCUUCAAACAAUCUUCUGCUCCUCUUGAUUUUAAUAAGCAUGAACGAAUUUUUCAUAAUUCCAAAAUAAUGGAGUCUGUGACGUUAAGUCAUGCAAAUAUAAACGGGUUUUAGUGGGAGCCCAACAUGGGUGACUUUAUGAUUGAUUGAUUGAUUGUUUGAUUUAAUUAUCAUACACGAUUGGUUUAUCCUACUCUCUAACAUGCAUGCGAUUAUUCCUAAAUUGUGCACUAACCCUCUCUAUUGAUAGCGCAUGGUGGCUCGUUGCCCAGGUAUGUACCCAUUUUCCCUCUAAUCGUUGUCUAUGCAUGUCUCGAUUCUUAUAUGUGCAUGAUCAUUCAGGAUAUUCAUUGAUUUACUCAUCAAUUGUCACGUCAGCUUCAUUUUAUUAGUAGAGACCCAACUUUAGGGACUUACAAGGGUGCUACGGCCUUUACCGUACCUUCCCGAUAAGUAACCUGACCCCCAAACCGGAUCCGGUUUUUCGUAAAUCACCUUUUCCAAAAUAAGGAGUCGUACUUAGGGUUUUCUUUCUUAUUUUGUUUACUCUUUUAAAAAUAAAAUAAAAAUAAGUGAUGACUCUCAGUCAUUUUCUUAAUCAAUAAAAAUUGUUUUUCAAAUAAAAAUCGAGCUCACCAUCCAGUGGGAAACGUAUGAGCCGAAAUGCGGGGCCACAACCAUUAUCAAUCAUAUUUUUUAAAAAAAAAACUAUUUACUUAAUUACUUUAUUCACCACCAAAGAUUUUCCUCGUCUCUUGGCAUAUAAGCUCAUGGGUCGAAGUUCCACGAAACUCCAGGGUACAACAAGGGGUAAAAAGGUCACAUAUCACAGUCACUUCCCAAAUACGUAUGAAUUGAUUUCGUGCAAUCCAUCAUCUUCAAGAAACAAGAGGCGAGAGAGCCGUUUCACGUACUGAAUUUGGGUGUUGUGGUGAGUCUCAUGGACAACUGGACUCGAAAAUGAUCCGACUCUUUUAUGUCGUCUCGGCAUUAUUAAUUUCCGCAAAUCCAUCACAUUGCGCCCCGUACGUUUCUGUUAGGAUUCUUUCAAAUAAUUUUUCACGUAUCCGAUUACUAGUCUAUCUGAAAAAGCAGAUAUUUCAAAUUGUUGGCCCCGCUUUCAUCUAUAAUUAGCCUUAUUAGUCAAAUAAUUCACACUACUCAUUGUUCAUGCUCACAGAAGCACUUAUCUCACUAUUCAAGUGGAAUGGUUGGGCAACUUCACCACUACUCUAUGAAUAUAUUUUAUAUGUUUUGAGCACUUCUGGCUUUGAAUAAAGCAUUUUUUAUAGUCAUAUUUGUACACCUAAUUUUCAUAUGAAGUCAUAUUUGUACAGCUAAUUUUCAUAUGAAGUCAUAUUUGUACAGUUAGUUUCCAUAUGAAUCGAGAGGAGGAAAAGAGAAAAAUGUGAAAUGGCCAACCUUUUCCAUACGUGAAAUAUUGGUAGUCCAAUGCAGGCUCCUUUUUUUUGAAUGGAAAAUAACUAUAUUCAAAAGGAUGAAUUCUCCGGAAUGGGUGAAUUUCAGGAUUGGGCCUUAAGUGCUUUAGCAAAUGUCAAGUAAGCGUACGUGAAGAUAUAAACAGCGAGUCAGGAUCCUUUUUUUACACAGCCUCCUCCCAUUCGCCUUUAGCCACUUACGCGUGAAUUCCGCGCUUAGAACAAUUUUAACAUCUCAUGCAAUGCUGGUCCACCAAAGAAUCCAAUCAAAAUGCUAUAAUUCAAUUCAUUACCACGGAAUCUCAAACCUGUUGAUUCUUCUCAUAUCAAAAAGCAACUCAAUUAUGGACAACUUUUCUUCUUUUUCUCCAUCAAAUACUCAUGGUGGUAGAUGCCUCCUUUCUUUAUCUCCCUAUAUAUAUUUAUUUAUAUAUCUUUCCCACAGACAAAACCACUUCCAAAGCUCUCUUAACCAGCCAUGGGUUCCAACCACAAGAGUCUCCAGGCAAUAUUGGGCGCACCAGGAGUGAGGGGUAAGAGGGUAACGGCUCUAUCAAAAGAUGGAUUAACUGAUUUUGUGCUUUCCAUGAUCUCCAAGAAACAAGAGCUCAAAGAGCCAUUUUAUGUGCUUGAUUUGGGUGUGGUGGUGAGUCUCAUGGAGAAGUGGUCUCGGGCUCUGCCUCUGGUUCGACCCUUUUAUGCUGUCAAGUGCAACCCGGACCCCACAUUUCUUGCUGCACUAGCGGCUCUCGGCUCAAGCUUUGACUGUGCUAGCCGCACGGAGAUUGAGACCGUUUUGGGUCUUGGAGUUUCUUCGGAUCGGAUUAUUUUUGCAAACCCAUGUAAAGCCGAGUCUCAUAUCAAGUACGCCGCAAGCGUAGGCGUUAACUUGACAACUUUUGAUUCAAGGGAUGAAAUCGAGAAAAUUCGAAAAUAUCACCCGAAAUGUGCCUUAUUGAUCCGGGUGAAACCUCCGGAGCACGGUGUCCAUUAGAGUCCAAGUACGGUGCACUCCCUGAGGAGGUGACGCCGCUCCUCCAGGCUGCACAAGACGCUCGGCUCACUGUCUCCGGCGUGUCUUUCCAUAUUGGUAGCGGCGCCACCCUUGCGCAGGCCUACCGGGGGGCGAUAGCUGAAGCGAGGGCGGUGUUUGAUACAGCCUCGCGGCUCGGCUUGCCUCGAAUGCAUGUGCUCAAUAUCGGUGGCGGCUUUACAUCUGGGCCGCACUUCGAUGACGCCACUUCUGCUAUCAAAUCGUCUCUCCAAGCCUACUUCCCUAACGAACAUGGGUUAACCAUCAUAGGCGAGCCAGGCAGGUACUUCGCCGAAUCGGCUUUCACUCUAGUCACCAAUAUUAUUGGGAAGCGUGUGAGGUCGGAGCUGAGGGAGUACUGGAUCAACGACGCAUUUACGGCUCUCUGAACUGUAUACUAAACGACCAUGCAACUGUGACCGCGAAGCCUCUCGCUUGCACUUCCAAUAGCGUGAACCCCACGUGCCGUCGAGUUAGGACUUACUCCUCUACAGUGUUUGGACCCACGUGCGACGCACUUGAUACAGUUUUGACCGGUCACCAGUUGCCAGAACUGCAGGUCAAUGAUUGGCUGAUGUUUCCUAGAAUGGGAGCUUAUACCGCUGCUGCCGGGUCCAACUUCAAUGGGUUUAACAUGUCCGCGGUUACGACCCACCUAGUCUACUCGAAUCCAACCUGAGACGUGGUGCUUUUUGGAUGGUUGUUGACAAUCUUUUCCUUCUUGUCCCUUAUGGAGAAAUUUACGUAAGAAAAUCGAUUGUGUCUUUGCUUUGGAGUUUGGAAUAUUAAUAAUAAACAUGGAUUGUUGUAAUGGUGUGCUUUAUAAUUUAAUUAAACUAUUUUCCUUAUCCAUUUCUAGAAAACAGAAAUCAUAUAAUUUCUUUUCUUACUGGAUUGUACAUGUAAAAAGUUCAAUUCUUCUCAAAAAGUCAAAAUCACCAUGGUUAUCUUAAAAAAAUAAAAAUAAAAAACAAAAAUUGACAUGUGGUAACCACCCAUGUCAUAUAAUUUCUCUUUAUUUAUUUAUUAUGUUUGUCAAUUUUUUUUAAGCUUGACAUAUGUCCCAAAUUAUUUUUAUUUUUAUUUUCUCUUUCUUUAUUUUAGUUUUUUUAGUUUUUUUUUUUAUAUGUUAGUUACAUUUUUUUUAUGAAUUUUUUAAUUCUUUUUUUUCAUUCUUUCAUCUUUUUAUUUUAAUUAUUUAUGAACCCUUGAAAUAUAAAAUAAUAUAUAAUAUAUAAUAUAUAAUAUAUAAUAUAUAAUAUAUAAUAUAUAAUAUAUAAUAUAUAAUAUAUAAUAUAUAAUAAAUAAUUAAUGAAAAAUUUUAAUAUAAUUUUUAUUUUUUAUUCAUAUAAAAUAAAAAUAAAAAAUAAAAAAUAUUUUUUCAUGCACAAUUUGUAUUUAAUAAUUUAUAUUAAUUUUUUCUUAGUUUUAUUAAAAAAUAAUUUUUUUUUGCAUAGUGAAAAUUGUGCAACACAACUCUUAGAAAAAAAAGGAUAUCACUCUUUUAUAAAAAAAAAUAACAUUAAUUAGUAUAGCUCUUAGAAAAUAAGGUAUUACUCUUUUAUGAAAACCGUAACAAAUUGUUAAAGGUAUACUUAACACACUUGAGUAUUAUUAUUAUUUUAUAUAAAAAACAAAAGUAAUAUCCUUUUUUUCCAAUGGUUGUGUCUAUUUGUGCACAAUUUGAGUGUGCAAAAAUUUUAAUUUUUAAUAAUUUUUUAAAAAAUAAUAUAAAUGAUUAGAUACAAUUUUUUAACAAAAAAUUAAAAUUUUUAAUAAAAAAAUGUUAGAACCACAACCAAGUUUUUAUCCUCUUUAAUUAAAAAUAUUAAAUAUUUUAAUUAAGAAAAAAGUUAAAACCACAAUCAAAUUAAAUUCAUAAGCAAAAAGUUAAAACCAUAAUCAUCAAUUUUGAUUUUAUUAUGAAAAAUUGAAAAUUUUAAAAAAUAAAAAUAUUAAAAUAAUAUGACAAUGUAAUAAGAUUUAUAAAAUAAAUAAAUAUUUUUUAGUAGCAAUCUAAAAAUCUUAUAUUAUAAAUCUCUAAAUUUGUUCAUUGUGUAUUUAUUUUUAUAUUAAAUUUGUUUUCAUUAGUUAUUAAUUAUUUAUUUUUAUUUUAUAUUUAAAAUGUUCUUAAAUAAUUGAAAUCAAUGCAUAUGAAGUGAUGAAAUUGUGAAAAAAAAAUUAAAAUUUUAAAAUUUUGAUAAAGCCAACACAUUAAAAAAAGCAAAAAAGGUAUUUUUAACUUUUGAAAAUAGUUUUUGAAUUUUUAUAAAACAAAAGUCUAUUUGAAAACUUAAAAUAUUUUUAACACAUUUUUAAUAUUUUUAAAUAUGUUUGAAAAAUAAAUUUUAUAUCUGGUGUUUUAUUUUUUUAUUUAUUUUUUUUUAUCAUUUUACAUGUUUUUGUAUGAUUAUUUUGUUAAAAUAACUCUUAAAAAAUAAGUAAAAAUAAAAAAAAAAAUAUUUUACUUUUUAUUCUUAAUAAAAAAUCAUUUUUAAUUGUUAAUUUUUUUUUUUUUAUCUUUUAAAUAAUAAAAAACUAUUCUAAAAAAUAAUUUUCAUGAAUCCUAUUGAGAUGCUCUUACUUAAGCAACUAUCUCUAACAAAUUAUUUGGUCCUAUUUGUUAUUAAUGGGAUCAAGAAUACUUUCAAUAAGAAAUAUAUUGAAGAGUUGGUGCAGGGUAAUAAUGGGAUCAGAGUUUAUGAAAAGUCUGAUCUAAAAUUCCUAAAAAAAAAUUAGCCUUUUAUUAUUAAAUCAACAAUGAUCCGGUAAAAGGGGAUUUAAGCUAGGUUCAAUAGAAAAUAAGACAAUUAUGUUUUGGACCUACUUGAGUAAAAAAAUUAAGCUUUGGUCUGUAUAAGUUCACCAUUUAAGUUCAAGAUCUAGAAGAAGUGUGAAAAUUGAUAGGAAGGAUAUGAAUUUUUUAUCUUUCAAAAAAUGAUAUUUAUUGACUAUGAAAAAAGGAAAGUAGAAAAGCAUUAAUUUAAAUUUUAUUUAUUUUGUAAACCUCAAUAAAAUUUAAUUUAAUUUAGUGAUUUGGAAAAAAAUAUACCAUUUUCCAAAAACAUAAAAAUAAAAAUAAAUUAUUAUUAUUAUUAUUAUUUAAAAAUCAAACAUCUUAGAAAAUAUCUAUCUUUAAAAUUGUGUAUAUAAAAAAUAACUAAAAAUAUGUCAAAAUUAUUUUUUUUAAAUGAUGUAUUUUUAGAAUAUAUUUAAAAAAAAUUAGUUUUCUAAAAAUAAUGAAUUUUCAAAAUAAUUAUUAAAUAAAUAAAUAAAAAAGUUUAUCAAAUAUUAUGAUAGAAAAUACUCAAAAUAGUUUUGAAAUGCAUAUUGGUUUCUUCAUAUUUUAUAUUAUUUUUAUCAAUUAUAUAAUUUUUAUGUGUCAAAUCUUAAGUUUUUGGCUAAUUGGGUCAAAAGCACAAUUAUGCCGGGGGGAAAUAUGGAUGGAAAAGUUGUUGGUUAGGAACUUAGGACACAGAUUAUAAACUUUUUGUACGUGGUAUGCCUACCUUUUUUGAAAUAUUUCCAAUCGCUUUUAUAGACAAGACGAAUUGUUGGAAGUAUAGCAUCGAACAAGUAGACGUAGCUGUUGACUUGUAUGGCGAAACAAUGUUCUAUCAAAUCGGUCAAACUCUCCCAUUUCUGGCCGCUUCUCCAGUUCUCCUUCGUGAUUGAUAACGAGGUGAGGCCCACAUCCCAACAUAUCAUAUCUUACAUGGGCUGAUGAUUUUCCUACGUGGCCAUCAAACAAAUAAAGAAAAAUGGAAAGGGAGAAUCACGGCCACAUAAAAAUAAAAUAAAAUUUAAAUGUUAGAUUUUUAACUUUGGAAACAAAACACGUACAUUUUGGAAAAAUUUCCAAAAACUAGUCUCUCUACCCAUCACUCCUACCCCCCAUCACCUACUUAUUUUUAUUCUCUCUACCCAUCUCUCCUACUCCCAUCACCUACCUAUUUUUAUUUUUAUUUUUGACACGUCAGAGAGCAUCAUGAUUAUCUUAAAAAAAAAAAACACCUUUGAAAUGUGGCAACCAACCACUGGCACAUGAUUUAUUUAUUUUUUCAAUUUACUAGCUUCAUGAAAUUUUUUUAAUUUCAAUUUUUUUCACCACUUCAUAUUAAUUGAUUUUUAUUAUUUUAUUGAUAUUUUAAACAUAAAAUAAUAAUUUAUGAUAAAUAAUUAAUGAAAAUAAAUUGAAUAUUAAAAUAAAUACAUAACUAAUAAAUGUAGAGGUUUAGGAUAUAAGAUCUUUUAUAUUAUGUUAAAAAAAUAUUUAUUUAUUUUAUAAAUCUUAUUAUAUUGUGAUCUUAUUUUAUUAUUUGUAUUUUUAAAAAUUUUAAAAAUUUCAUGUGACAAUCAAAAUUAAUGAUCACGACUUUACCUUUUUGAUCAUGGUUCUAAAUUUUUGAUUGAUUAAAAUAUUUAAUUGUUUAUUGGUUAAAAUAUUUAAUUGUUUAUUUAUAUGAAAUAAAAAUAUAUUUUUCAUAACAAAUUGUAUUUAAUAAUUUAUAUUAAUUUUUUAAAAUUUUAUUAAAACUUUAAUUUUUUACUUACCAAGUACUGAAACCAAUUUAGAGUGUUUAGGAAGGUGUUAAUUUUUUUUUUGUGUACUUCAAAGAUGUGUAAUUUUAGUAUGCAAAAAUAUUAAAGAUACUUGAAAGAUGUAUAAAUUUAACAUGGAAAAUUUUUAAAUCUGUUAUAAAAUAUAUAGUUUAUUUUAUAUUUUAUAUAAAUAAAAAAUUAAAUAUCUUUACCAAGAAAAAAGUUAAAAUCAUAAUAAAAAGGCUAGAACUAUGAUUAUUGAUUUUGAUCUUCACAUGAACAUAUAAAAAUUUCAAAAAAUAUAUACAAUAAAAUAAUAUGGCAACAAUAUUUUUAUUUAAUUUAAAUAUGAUAAGAUUUAUAAAAAUAAAUAAAUAUUUUAUUAUUUUUAUUUAAUAUUGAUAUAUAAAAUCUUAUAUCGUAUACUUCUAAAUUUGUUCAUGUAUUUAUUUUUUUAUUAAAUUUAUUUUCAUUAAUGAUUUAAUAUAUAUAUAUAUAUAUAUAUAUAUAUAUAUAUAUAUAUAUAUAUAUAUAUUAUUAUUUUAUGAUUAAAGUGUUUAUAAAUAAUUUAAAAAUAAAUAUGAAAAACAUAUUUUAUUUUUAUUUGAUAUAAAUAAAAAUUACAAAUUUUAACAAUGCAAAAUAUUAGAACUAAAGCUAAGUUUUUAUCUUUUAUAAUUAAAAAUAUUAACAUUUUAACUAAAAUAAAAGAAGUUAAAAACACAGUUAAUUAAGAUCAUAAACAAAAAAACUAAAAUUAUGAUUAUUAACUUUAAAUUUUAUAUGAAAAUUUAAAAAUUUUAAAAAUAUAAAUAAUUAAUAAUAUGACAAUGUAACAUUAUUUAUAAAAUAAAUAAAUAUUUUAUUUAAUAGGAACAUAGAAAAUCUCAUGUUAUAAACCUUUAUUUUUUUAUUUUUAUAUUAAAUUUGUUCUCCUAUUUUCUUAUUAGGCUUUCACCUUAUAAAUUAGUUGUGUACACAUUAUUUUUUUUAAAGAAAAUAUAAGAAAAAAAUUAUAAUUAUUGUUUUUAUUAUAGAAAAUAAAAAAAUCAAAUUUAACCAAAUUUAACUAAGAUUCUUGCAAUUUUUUUUGUAAAUUAUUUUAAUUUUGUAUAUGAAAAAUAAAAAAAUAAGUUAAAUAAAUUAAAAAUAACAUAUGAAAUAAUUCAAUGGUUUUAAUCUAUCUUUUGUAUUAUUUUUCGUCUUCUACUUUUUUUUUUCCCCUUCACAUUUUUUGAAACUUAAACAUGAUAAAAAAAAAAAAAAUAGUUUUAGUUUGAGAUUAGAUUAGCUAAAUUCAAAAUUUAAAUUGAUUUUUUUUAAUAGGAAUUUAAUUAUGGCAUAACCAAAAGGAAAAUGUGAUCGUAUCUGGAAUUAAAGAUCAAAAUUGUUAUUUAAUAACAGGUAAACGAUUAAAAAAUUAUCUAAAAACAUCUGAUUGACGCAAUCAACCACGUGGCGACAAAAGAGUUUAGGUGAACAUGCGGCUCUCACGCAAUAUAAUCUUGGCCCGCUUGUGUUUUAGACGCGGGCCGGACUGGCCCAUUUUCAGCCCAUAAUAUUUGGGAUAAGUAGAAUAAAAUCCAAAAAUCAAAGGGAAAACAGCCAGAACCCCAGGUGAGCAAAGACCAGCUAUUCCGUCUAUUUUUUUGUGUCAUCACGCCAUGGAAGCUCUGAGUUCCUCUGCAACAAUCAUAGCUGCUUCAUCGUCAUCUCCAUCGAUUUUCUCCCCAAGGAAAAGAGACUCACCAAGAUUCCUUCGAGUCAACGUUUCUCCAAAAGGUAAGAUCUCACCACAGCAUCUGCCAUCAUUUCUGAUUUCUUUCGUUUUCUUUUCUCUUUUUGUGAAAUUAACAAUAGAAUAUGGUUUUGAAUCAGAUAACGGGAACGAUUCCGAUGUCCGAUCCGAAUCGGAUGAGUCAAGCUUGGUUCCCAUCCUGACGAAUCGUACUCUCUCGAAGGUGAGUUCCUGUUAACGAAAUCCUGUUCAAUUUUUAUUUUUAUAGUAAUUUAGGGUUUAUUUUUUAGGCUUAUUUUUUUUGGAAAUUUUCUUAGGAUGCGGCGAUGGGGUUGGUUCUGAGUGCGGCGUCGGUGAGAGGUUGGACGACGGACUCUGGUAUGGAAGGUCCUUCGGUUCCGGCGGCGGCGGAGGCCCGAUCCAGUACGGAGAGGAUCUCAACCUUCCCGUGGUCCCUCUUUACCAAAUCGCCACGUCGAAGGAUGCGCGUUGCCUUCACUUGCAAUGUUUGCGGUCAGCGGACCACUCGUGCCAUCAAUCCUCAUGCUUACACCGAUGGAACCGUUUUCGUCCAGGUAAUUUUUUCUCCCUGUCCUCUGUUUGGUUGAUGGGAAAAGAUAAUAGAAAAAUAAAAUAAAAUCAAUAUCUUGUUUUAUGUUAUUUGUUUCCAAAUAAUGAAAACAACUUGCCUGAAUAAAGCAUUAUGUAAGGCUCAAUUGAAAGAGGUUUCUGUUUUCUCAGCUGCAAUUAUAGUUUCUUAUUGUGAAUGGCGUGUCCGUGAUUUGCAGUGCUGUGGAUGCAAUGUGUUUCAUAAACUGGUGGACAAUCUGAAUCUUUUUCAUGAGAUGAAGUGCUACGUGAACCCGAGCUUCAAUUACAGUGAUCCAAGAGGGGAUGUGGGCUUCAAGUAUCUUGAUAUGGAUGAUGAUAAUAACAAUGACGUCUUUCCUAUCUUUUGAGGUGAAAGAAUUGCUUAUAUACUUGUACAUUUCCUAUAUCAUACUUAGAAACUGAUUUUAAUUGCAUCUGUAAAUAUAUUGUCACUAUUGGUUUACAUGGGGUGUUCAAUUAAUAAUUCAGAGUUGGAUCCUUUUUAGAUGAUUUGGGUCACCAGGUUCAUUACUUAAUACUUGGUUUAUAUCUGUUUAUAUUGGAAAUAAUGUAAGAACUUUGUCCAGCAUCCAGGUCCCUCCUAAUUUGAUGCACUCCUAUUUGUUGUGCUUUAGUUCUCAUCAUUUACAGAAAGAUCUUGAGGGGUAAGCUAUAUGGAUUAGGAAUUUAACUUUAGGUCAUGGCUAUAUGCAUUGGAGUUUUUAAUCAUUGUCUUUCUUGAAGAUAUAGAAACUAUGUGGAUUCUACUUUUGAAGCUCCUAAAGUUGCAGUUUCUAAUUCUGUGUUGCAGUUGUAGUGGGUUUUUUUCUUUUGUUAGAAAGUUGGUAUUAUUGGUACCCAAUAAACUAUAUAUUAGAUUUAGUUUCAUAGUUGGAAGUGAAAAUGAAAUUUAGAUGGAAAGAUUGAUGACCUGUUAUUGAAUAGUCUAAAGGGAACAAACCAUCUUGUAUAACAACACUUCAUUGGCUGUGCAAGAAGAACCUGUAUUAUGCUUGAUGAAAAUGUAGGGAUAAUGGAAGAGAUGAAACAUGGAAAUUGAGUAAGAUAUAAGGUAAAAAGAAGCGAGAUUGAAUUUAGGGCCUAUAAUGCUCUUUAUCAUGAGAUCUUCAGUAGUUAGAUUCAAGGACCAGUUUCUGUGUGGUUUUGUUCCUUCCAGGCAGUAGUUCAGUUCAUUCAACUUGCUGAAUCAGAAAAUAGGAUAUGUUAUUAAGUAUGAUCAAAACUGAAUGUUCAUGAAUACUUAUUUCUCCAGACAUUCAGCUUAAUCUCUGAAAUGAUUUUAGAAAAUAGUAGCUUAACCAUGAGCAUGGUAUUAUUGAGUUGAAAUAUGCAACAUAUAGCUUAGAAACCUAUUGUUAAGUGUGGCUGUUGGGGAUGUCAUUUAUGUUUGAAUGGUUAAGUUUUCUAUCUUUCUUGAGAUCCUUGACCUCAGAGGUGUAACAUUUAGUGUCCAAUAGUGCAAAAUUAGAGUUUUCUCUUUUACCAAGAGAAAAGAAAAAAAAAAAAAAAAAAAAAAAAAAGAGCAAAAAGGACAAUAAAAAAUCCAAACAGUGUUGGCUUGUCCAAAAAAUGUAUUUGUGUACCUUGCAAAGAAGUCUAAAAUAGGUGCCAUCUCUAGAAUGGGGUUAAUAAAUUUUUAACAUGUACUCACUUGUUAUACUUUCCAUAAUUUUGGGUUGUUUAUCUUGAUUUGCAGGAAAAUACUAAGAUCUAAGGUAAGGUAGGUGCUAAAUAUUUUAUUAAAGCUAAAACUUGUAGUGAUUAUUUAAGCUGACAUUUCAGUACUAAAUGUGUGUUGGAUAAACAUGAAGAUAUCACAUAAGUGGUACAUGGAUUGCCUGUUUAACACAGAUAUACAUAGACAAUUAACUGAGCAAUCUGUUCCAGAUUGAUAUUCCAAGGAUCACGAGGGCCCAUACUAACCCAUAAACAUUUUUUCAUCUUUAGAAAUGUAGAUGUGGGGCAAGUUGCUGCAAGUUUUUUUUGAUAAGUAAGCACAGAAUUCAUUCAAAGAAGGCAAAAAAGCCCCAUAGUAUACAGGACGUAUAUAAGGCAGCUAAGACCUUACAAGCAAAAAAAGACCAAAAACUCACCACCCCUUAACUGGAGGCUAACCACUCCAGGAAUCCUAUAAGGGAAUGCAAGUUGCUGCAAGUUGAUUCAAUUAAGAUGCCAUUUGGCUGAUUCUUUUUCUAGACAGACUCUAUCAACAGUUGGAAGAAGUUGUAUCCCUGGAAAUAAAAAAAGUACUUGGUGGUUUAAGAUUAAACAAUUGAACAUGAUAGAUUAGAGAUGAUUUUUUUGAAAUCAGAUUUUAGUGGUGCCUCUUUUUUUGUUUCCCAUUAAGUCCUACUUGAUGUAAGACAACCCUAGGAUAGUUGUCUACACUCAAAUAGGUGGGCUAGGGUUUUUAUUUUUUAGGAUGUAGGGAGAGAAACAAGGAAUCAAGUUUAUGGUAGAGAAAAAAAAAAAAAACCUUCUAGAAGUUUUACCUAAAAGAAAAUUAAUGGAGUUUCACUAAGGAUUGCAACACUUGUAAUAAAAAAAACAUAAUAUUAUUAACAUCAAUCAAUUCUAAAGUCUACUAGGAUUCUAAUAACUUAUUCAAACUUUGAUUCUAAUUAUCUUAUAACAAUUGACUUUAACAAAUGCUAAUCCUAACUUGACUCCAACAAAUACUAAUCCUAAUUUAAUUUCAUUAAAUACUAAUUUUAAUUUAAUUCCAAGUUAUACUAAUCUAACUCUCUAAUUGCAACUUGCAACUAAUACAAAUUCACUACAGGUGGUACUCAUUUAUCCUUGCUUCAGCCACUAAACAUUGUUGUUGAGAAUAACAUCUGUGUAAUCAUAGCUAGGAGAAAGCUUCAAUUCACUAAUUUUUAUGUUCCUGGUUGUUUUAGUGCCAAUUCUUGGAGUGUACCUACUUUGUCAUGAAAUUCUUGGUUUCAGCCUUCGUUGUUUACAAAUUUCGAUAUGUGAGGGUAGAAAAAAUACAUAAUGGUUCGACCUUUAUUGUGUGAAACAGAUGCAUGUGUAGAAAACAGAAAUUGGGUCUGUGGUGGAGGGCAGGACUUUGAGACGUGUGGUUUAGGUGGUGUAUUGAGAUGAGGGGGUAGGCGUGGUCCUUAUGUCUAAAAUAUCUUCUACAUUUCAUUAGAACUGGCUAGGAAAGCAAUGCAAAGGAAUCUUUUGAACCUCAUAAUCGUUUAAAAAAACUAGGUCUCCGAAAAUGAAUUGUUUGUUUCCUAUUAAAAUAUGAAUUUCAAGUUUUGCUGUUGGAUAUUUAAGAUCAUGCUUAUACUUGGAACGGAGUGUAAUAGAAUAUGGUUAUGGGAAAUCUAUCCCAUUUCUCGUUUUAGUACUUUCUAUGUUUGGAUGAUUUUAAAUUGCAGUCUCAUGAAGAGUUUUUUUCCUGUCAUUUUCAUUUUUAUCGUCACUUUUAUUCCUAACGCACCAAACGCAGCCCCAAGACACCUGGAGUUGUUAGCGACGAAUUUUUAUGAUAAUUUUCGGCUCGGGAAAAAAAAUGUGGCGUGAAUUUGUGUACGAAUAGGGUGAGGAGCUAAAAUGAAAAAUAUUUAUUUCCGCUUGAUGUUGUUACUCUAAUCGGUUUGGCAUUGUCUUGUUUCCCUGUCGUAUCGUUUCAAUUAUAUAUAUAAUAAUAAUGAAAAAUAUUUUUCAUAAAAAAUGAAUUAUAAAAUGUGUAAUAUUUAUUUCAAGGUUUAAGAGUUGGGGGUCGGGUCACCCUCCCACAGCCGGACGAACCCAGUAACCGCCAUCCUUAUGUAUAAACCCAACUCAGUAACCGUACCGGACAGUUCUUUAAUAUGUCUAAUUUUAGUAGAUGAUUCUAACGUUCAGGGAAAGAUCUCGCCCAUUAAGCCUUUAUGUGGUUGACCAGAAGUAACCAAUGAGAUUCUAGCAUUUAAUUGGACUUUCGCACCUUACUCCAUAAUAAUCUCGUCUGUUUCCCACUCCUCCUAUCAGAACUGCAUAAUGAUAUAAACGAACAAAAAUGACAUAAAAGAAGAAAAAACCUUCAUUUAUCUUUGGGAAUUUCCUGAAGUUAUUCUGGUUAAUUGUUUUUGCAAUAUCUCCCAAAUCUAAGUUAAACAAAAAAUAAAAAUAGUAAAAGACAUAACUGGAUGGCUAGGUAUUAGGAAUUAGGAUCAGCAUAAAUUUGUCCAAGGAAUGGCCCGAGAAUCUUGCUCGAAGGCAAAGCAUUUUUCUUCCUACGAUUACCGAGAAACGCGACGCCACUUUUUGUCUCUGUAUUGUAGAAUCAUUGUCUUCGGAUUUUUAAAUCCUUGAUGAUGUUGGAAAUUAUCUCUACUCCAUGGACUGGGGAAUUUCUUAAAGAAAAUAAUACGUGGCUUCACCUCGUGCACUCACCCCUUACUUUAUAAUUCUUUCAUAUCUUCAAGUUUAAUGAGAGAUUAAUAUCCAAUGAUUGUCUGCUUGGCACUUUCAUUAUGAUUUGAUGAAUUUGUCCACUUUUCUGUUUUAUCAUAUUUUCUUUAAUUGUAAUCCAUAGCAAGGAGGCGGAGAGGAAGUAAAAGACUCUUAGUUUCAGCAUUUGGCAUUUUGUAAGAGAGAUAUUUUGUUGUCCCUAUCUAUUUAUUUUUCUAUCCAUUUGGUCCAGUGAUACAGUUAAAUCACAAGAAAGUAUUAAUAAUAAUAAUAAUAAUAAUAAUAAUAAUUCACGAGAAAUCAAAUAUGUUUUUAUUUUGAGUUCAAUAAGAAUGUUAUAAUAUGUUUAGAUAUUUUUAUUAAAAGAAUUUAUAAAUUUAAAAGGAAAAUCUAAUAAGGUAAUGGUAUGUUUUAGCGAUUGAGUUUGAAUAGGUCUGAAAUCAAAAUAAAAUUCUCAAAUUGGAACUUCAAAUUCAAAUAAAAUUAUGGAUUAACUCUAACUUCAGUUUUUCAACUUCUUAAAGGCACAAACAAACAUAUAUCUAACAUCCCCAACUCUAAAUCACACAAUCAGAGUUGCAAAACCAAUCCUCAUUGGAAAAAUUUUCCACCUCCCACAUUCUCAACCUCACAUCAGUACAGCCAUGCCACGUCAGAGGAUAGCAUCCAAUCCAACCAAUAGCAGGCAUCCUCUGCAGAUAACCCAUUUCUCCACCCAUCCCAUCCUCCUUUAUCUCAUACAAAUACAAACCACACAAAUCAAAAAACACCACCUCACCGCAAGUCUUCGCUUUCUAUUAAAUCAUCCCCACACCCUCCUCUUCUUCUGAUUUCUUCCCUUGCAACCAGACACACUCACUCAGAGACAGUUGAAGGAAAUGGCCAUCGUCACCUCCGCCGCAGUCGCCAUCCCCUCAUUCACCGGCCUCAAGGCCUCCGGCGCAACCAUGACCCGCGCUGCCGCCACCGUCAAGACCAUCACCGCACCGGCCCCGAGGCUCGUGGCCAAGGCUGCACUGAAGGACGUGGGAGUGGCCGUCGUCGCCACCGCCGCCAGCGCUUUGCUCGCCAGCAAUGCCAUGGCCAUGGAGGUCUUGCUCGGCAGCAGCGACGGAGGCCUGGUGUUUGUGCCGUCGACCAUCACCGUCCCCGCCGGAGAGAAGAUCACGUUCAAGAACAAUGCUGGCUUCCCUCACAACGUUGUGUUCGACGAGGAUGAAGUUCCGUCCGGCGUCGACGUAUCGAAAAUCUCGAUGUCCGAAGAGGAUCUGUUGAAUGCACCUGGAGAAGUGUACUCUGUGACUUUGACCGAGAAAGGUACCUACAGUUUCUACUGUUCUCCUCACCAGGGUGCUGGUAUGGUGGGAAAGGUGACCGUUAAUUAAGUUAGUUUAUAUGAAUGACGAUGAAUUUGCAAGGAACAUCUCAU